rnacentral:ncRNA from 1 species
AAUCAUUCGAUGACGGGACAAGUACGAUAAGGUUACGUUCUCCAGAGAGUCGGUGUUUGCUGCGAGCCGAUUGUUCACACCUUGCCGGAAGAUCUUCCCCUAGAAGCUGAGCUGAAGCGUUAAUUCGUGCGUAAGUUUAGCCGUCUGCCGGACGUUAUCCCGGACCCGCGCGUUUAGAUUGUCUGUGCGGAACUGAGAUUGUGCUGAAUACACUCCCCCUGAGGAUGUGCCUGAAGCACAGAAUUAGGGUGGUAUCGCGAGCGUCGUCUCGCCCCUUGG